rnacentral:rRNA from 1 species
GAUGAACGCUGGCGGCGUGCCUAACACAUGCAAGUCGAACGGAGUUCUUAGGAAUGCGGCUUCGGCUAAAUGACUUUUGAACUUAGUGGCGGACGGGUGAGUAACGCGUGAGGAACCUGCCUUUCAGAGGGGGACAACAGUUGGAAACGACUGCUAAUACCGCAUGAAGCGUAUUGAUCGCAUGGUCGAUACGCCAAAGAUUUAUCGCUGAAAGAUGGCCUCGCGUCUGAUUAGCUAGUUGGUGAGGUAACGGCCCACCAAGGCGACGAUCAGUAGCCGGACUGAGAGGUUGAACGGCCACAUUGGGACUGAGAUACGGCCCAGACUCCUACGGGAGGCAGCAGUGGGGAAUAUUGGGCAAUGGGCGCAAGCCUGACCCAGCAACGCCGCGUGAAGGAAGAAGGCUUUCGGGUUGUAAACUUCUUUUGUCGGGGACGAGUAGAAGACGGUACCUGACGAAUAAGCCACGGCUAACUACGUG